AUUGAACGCUGGCGGCAGGCCUAACACAUGCAAGUCGAGCGGUAACACAGAGGAGCUUGCUCCUUGGGUGACGAGCGGCGGACGGGUGAGUAAUGCCUGGGGAUCUGCCCGAUAGAGGGGGAUAACUACGGGAAACUGUAGCUAAUACCGCAUAACGUCUACGGACCAAAGUGGGGGCUCUUCGGACCUCAUGCUAUCGGAUGAACCCAGGUGGGAUUAGCUAGUUGGUGAGGUAAUGGCUCACCAAGGCGACGAUCUCUAACUGGUUUGAGAGAAUGACCAGUCACACUGGAACUGAGACACGGUCCAGACUCCUACGGGAGGCAGCAGUGGGGAAUAUUGCACAAUGGGCGCAAGCCUGAUGCGGCCAUGCCGCGUGUGUGAAGAAGGCCUUCGGGUUGUAAAGCACUUUCAGCGGGGAGGAAGGGCUACUAGUUAAUACCUAGUGGCAUUGACGUUACUCGCAGAAGAAGCACCGGCUAACUACGUGCCAGCCGCCGCGGUAACAC
rnacentral:rRNA from 1 species